UUUACAUCAAUUUCUAAAAUACCUAAAAUCUGGGCUUGUUCAAAAUUAUUAUUAUUUUUUUUUUUUUAAAUUGAAAACGAAUCAAAAUGAAAUUCAAGACGAAAAAGGUGCAGUUGGUAAAGAAAACUUGAAAACUGAAAGCGAAAUUUUUUAAAUACAAGCCUUUUAGUCUUUUAGAUCUGUUCUUUCUUCUAGCAUUGAUUCAAUGGUAGGUAGAGAAAAGAAGGGGACUUAAGGGUGGUAGUUAAUUGCGGUAAUGAAAAGCAAACACUUACGUCAAGGGGCUUCUUCAGUACAAUCCAUCCUGAUUCCGCUUGUAUAUCGAAAUAUUCCAAAUCAUUGGGAUUAAAUGGAGCACUUAGACUAUAGACAAUGGCACCAUUAUUAUCGGCAUCCUCGUCGGAAGCGGAGACACAAAUUAAAUUAUUAUUCUGAAGGCAUUCAAAACGAAAUGCAAAACUUACCUGACGAUCGAAUAGUGGUGGAUUAUCAUUCACAUCCGUUAUCUCUACAGUGAAUGAGCAAACUCCUUCCAGGCUAGGAUCACCCUGAUCAGUUGCUUUCACUGUCACGGAUACAAAUUUUCCAUCAUCACCUUCACGAUCGAAUACUUUGUUGGUAGACACUUCGCCUGUCUCCUCAUCGACAGUGAAUUUGGUGCCCUUUUGAUUCGGUUGCUGAACUAUGGAGUAUUUCACCUGCAACCAGAGAGAGACAGAGAGAGAGAAAAAUUCAAUUAAAAGUGAUUGACACAAAUUGUUAAAAGGCGUCGCCCAUCACCCAGCACACAACAUGCAAUCCUUUCAAGUGCAUUGAACUUGUGGGGGGGGAGCUAAAAAGGGCAAACAAGGAAUGGCAAAUCUUGUCAUGAAAUCUCUUGACACAACACGCGGCUAAUGCCAAUUAGGCUGUAAUCGUGUUAUGAGUGGCCUAAAAAAACAUGCAUCAAAUAAACCAUAAUUAAUUGCAAAA